rnacentral:sRNA from 1 species
UUGACGGCAGUCGGCGUGCAGCCGGUC